rnacentral:rRNA from 1 species
GACGAACGCUGGCGGCGUGCCUAAUACAUGCAAGUAGAACGCUGAAGGAGGAGCUUGCUCUUCUGGAUGAGUUGCGAACGGGUGAGUAACGCGUAGGUAACCUGCCUGGUAGCGGGGGAUAACUAUUGGAAACGAUAGCUAAUACCGCAUAAGAGUAGAUGUUGCAUGACAUUUACUUAAAAGGUGCAAUUGCAUCACUACCAGAUGGACCUGCGUUGUAUUAGCUAGUUGGUGGGGUAACGGCUUACCAAGGCGACGAUACAUAGCCGACCUGAGAGGGCGAUCGGCCACACUGGGACUGAGACACGGCCCAGACUCCUACGGGAGGCAGCAGUAGGGAAUCUUCGGCAAUGGACGGAAGUCUGACCGAGCAACGCCGCGUGAGUGAAGAAGGUUUUCGGAUCGUAAAGCUCUGUUGUAAGAGAAGAACGAGUGUGAGAGUGGAAAGUUCACACUGUGACGGUAUCUUACCAGAAAGAGACGGCUAACUACGUG